rnacentral:rRNA from 1 species
GGGAAAAAGCCGGUAGGGAGAGCGAUAGGCAAAUCCGUCGCUCACUAAUCCUGAGAGGUGACGCAUAGCCGGUUGAGGCGAAUUCGGUGAUCCUCUGCUGCCAAGAAAAGCCUCUAGCGAGCACACACACGGCCCGUACCCCAAACCGACACAGGUGGUCAGGUAGAGCAUACCAAGGCGUACGAGAUAACUAUGGUUAAGGAACUCGGCAAAAUGCCCCCGUAACUUCGGGAGAAGGGGGACCGGAAUAUCGUGAACACCCUUGCGGUGGGAGCGGGAUCCGGUCGCAGAAACCAGUGAGGAGCGACUGUUUACUAAAAACACAGGUCCGUGCGAAGUCGCAAGACGAUGUAUACGGACUGACGCCUGCCCGGUGCUGGAAGGUUAAGAGGACCCGUUAACCCGCAAGGGUGAAGCGGAGAAUUUAAGCCCCAGUAAACGGCGGUGGUAACUAUAACCAUCCUAAGGUAGCGAAAUUCCUUGUCGGGUAAGUUCCGACCUGCACGAAUGGCGUAACGACUUCUCAACUGUCUCAACCAUAGACUCGGCGAAAUUGCACUACGAGUAAAGAUGCUCGUUACGCGCGGCAGGACGAAAAGACCCCGGGACCUUCACUACAACUUGGUAUUGAUGUUCGGUACGGUUUGUGUAGGAUAGGUGGGAGACUGUGAAACCUCGACGCCAGUUGGGGCGGAGUCGUUGUUGAAAUACCACUCUGAUCGUAUUGGGCAUCUAACCUCGAACCCUGAAUCGGGUUUAGGGACAGUGCCUGGCGGGUAGUUUAACUGGGGCGGUUGCCUCCUAAAAUGUAACGGAGGCGCCCAAAGGUUCCCUCAACCUGGACGGCAAUCAGGUGGCGAGUGUAAAUGCACAAGGGAGCUUGACUGCGAGACUUACAAGUCAAGCAGGGACGAAAGUCGGGAUUAGUGAUCCGGCACCCCCGAGUGGAAGGGGUGUCGCUCAACGGAUAAAAGGUACCCCGGGGAUAACAGGCUGAUCUUCCCCAAGAGUCCAUAUCGACGGGAUGGUUUGGCACCUCGAUGUCGGCUCGUCGCAUCCUGGGGCUGGAGCAGGUCCCAAGGGUUGGGCUGUUCGCCCAUUAAAGCGGCACGCGAGCUGGGUUUAGAACGUCGUGAGACAGUUCGGUCUCUAUCCGCCGCGCGCGUCAGAAACUUGAGGAAACCUGUCCCUAGUACGAGAGGACCGGGACGGACGAACCUCUGGUGCACCAGUUGUCCCGCCAGGGGCACCGCUGGAUAGCCACGUUCGGUCAGGAUAACCGCUGAAAGCAUCUAAGCGGGAAACCUUCUCCAAGAUCAGGUUUCUCACCCACUUGGUGGGAUAAGGCCCCCCGCAGAACACGGGUUCAAUAGGUCAGACCUGGAAGCUCAGUAAUGGGUGUAGGGAACUGGUGCUAACCGGCCGAAAACUUACAACA